rnacentral:rRNA from 1 species
GGAAUAUUGCACAAUGGGGGAAACCCUGAUGCAGCGACGCCGCGUGAGUGAAGAAGUAUUUCGGUAUGUAAAGCUCUAUCAGCAGGGAAGAAGAAGGACGGUACCUGAGUAAGAAGCCCCGGCUAACUACGUGCCAGCAGCCGCGGUAAUACGUAGGGGGCAAGCGUUAUCCGGAUUUACUGGGUGUAAAGGGAGCGUAGACGGCGAAGAAAGUCUGAAGUGAAAGCCCGCGGCUCAACCGCGGAAUGGCUUUGGAAACUUUUUUGCUGGAGUACCGGAGAGGUAAGCGGAAUUCCUAGUGUAGCGGUGAAAUGCGUAGAUAUUAGGAGGAACACCAGUGGCGAAGGCGGCUUACUGGACGGUAACUGACGUUGAGGCUCGAAAGCGUGGGGAGCAAACA